GGGGGCGAAUUGGUUUCGACGGGGAUGAGGAUGGUGUUUUUGCACGUCGAGGUUAUCGGUCACCUCGCUAAUCAACCGGUAAAAAAAAGAAAUGCAAACUAUAAUUAUGCAUUGGCCGCUUAAGUAAUAUUAAGCGACCCGUCUGCCGCAGGUGAGCCCGUAACUUGCGGAUGUGGCGUCGAUUUAGCGGGAUAAGCCCGAGGCCCUCCCCGAGCUUCAGGACUAAAACCGCAGGGGAUGGCGGAUUCGAAAGCCUGCCUAUCGGCGUUCGGAUUCGCGAGAUUAAACGAUAGGAUAAACGUGUAGACGAAGCUCAGGAAUUAUCUUCGGACGCGGGUUCGAUUCCCGCCGCCUCCAUAU
rnacentral:tmRNA from 1 species